rnacentral:rRNA from 1 species
CACGUAGGGCGCAAGCGUUGUCCGGAAUUAUUGGGCGUAAAGAGCUCGUAGGCGGUCUGUUGCGUCCGCUGUGAAAACUCGGGGCUUAACCCCGAGCCUGCAGUGGAUACGGGCAGACUAGAGGUAGGUAGGGGAGAAUGGAAUUCCUAGUGUAGCGGUGAAAUGCGUAGAGAUUAGGAAGAACACCAGUGGCGAAGGCGAUUCUCUGGACCAUAACUGACGCUGAGGCAUGAAAGCGUGGGUAGCAAACAGG